CAGCGCCGCGGUAAUACAGAGGGUGCGAGCGUUAAUCGGAUUUACUGGGCGUAAAGCGUGCGUAGGCGGACAUUUAAGUCAGGGGUGAAAUCCCGGGGCUCAACCCCGGAACUGCCUUUGAUACUGGGUGUCUUGAGUGUGGAAGAGGUCAGUGGAAUUGCGAGUGUAGAGGUGAAAUUCGUAGAUAUUCGCAGGAACACCAGUGGCGAAGGCGGCUUACUGGUCCACAACUGACGCUGAGGUGCGAAAGCGUGGGGAGCAAACAGGAUUAGAUACCCCUGUAGUCCCUGUCUCUUAUACC
rnacentral:rRNA from 1 species